ACGAACGCUGGCGGCAGGCUUAACACAUGCAAGUCGAGCGCAGUAGCAAUACUGAGCGGCAGACGGGUGCGUAACACGUGGGAACAUACCUUUUGGUUUGGAAUAACUCAGGGAAACUUGAGCUAAUACCGGAUAAGCCCUUCGGGGGAAAGAUUUAUCGCCGAAAGAUUGGCCCGCGUCUGAUUAGCUAGUUGGUGGGGUAAUGGCCCACCAAGGCGACGAUCAGUAGCUGGUCUGAGAGGAUGACCAGCCACACUGGGACUGAGACACGGCCCAGACUCCUACGGGAGGCAGCAGUGGGGAAUAUUGGACAAUGGGGGCAACCCUGAUCCAGCCAUGCCGCGUGAGUGAUGAAGGCCUUAGGGUUGUAAAGCUCUUUCAGUGGGAAAGAUGAUGACGGUACCCACAGAAGAAGCCCCGGCUAACUCCGU
rnacentral:rRNA from 1 species